GACGAACGCUGGCGGCAUGCCUUACACAUGCAAGUCGAACGGUAACAGGUCUUCGGAUGCUGACGAGUGGCGAACGGGUGAGUAAUACAUCGGAACGUGCCUAGUAGUGGGGGAUAACUACUCGAAAGAGUGGCUAAUACCGCAUGAGAUCUACGGAUGAAAGCAGGGGAUCGCAAGACCUUGUGCUACUAGAGCGGCCGAUGGCAGAUUAGGUAGUUGGUGGGAUAAAAGCUUACCAAGCCGACGAUCUGUAGCUGGUCUGAGAGGACGAUCAGCCACACUGGGACUGAGACACGGCCCAGACUCCUACGGGAGGCAGCAGCGGGGAAUUUUGGACAAUGGGCGCAAGCCUGAUCCAGCAAUGCCGCGUGCAGGAUGAAGGCCUUCGGGUUGUAAACUGCUUUUGUACGGAACGAAAAGCCCUGGGUUAAUACCCUGGGGUCAUGACGGUACCGUAAGAAUAAGCACCGACUAACUACGUGCCAGCAGCCGCCGCAGUAA
rnacentral:rRNA from 1 species